AAACCCAAAGAGGUCAUCCAUCCCUUUUUAAUAUUUAGCCACAUCAGUGACAAUAGCCUACACACCGCCGCGCGCGUGACAUCAUCGCCUUAUUGAUAGGGGCUUUUGCAUCUAAGCGGCUACAUUUAAAGCUCCGUGACCUGUUUUGUUUCUGAAUUAACAAUUUCACCGCUUAUAGAGAGACCCGCUCAUCUAGUGGUGUAGGAUGAAUUCAGUUAACAACCGUCAAUAAAAUACCAUAAAGACGCGGCAGUUGUGUGUUUUCUGUGGGACUGCCAGUGAGCUAAGUUUUCACAAUGUUGUCGACACAACAAAAAUGUUUUGUGAGAGAAAGGUGAGAGAAGCGCAAGGAGAAAAGUGGAAGCCGGUCGGCUGUGCGGAUUUCAUGCGAUAGAAGGGGGGAAACUCCAGCGGCCAGCUCUCUCCCUCCACACCGCGAUCAGAGCACUGCAACGCACACAGCGGGCAGCAUGCCGACUCCCACUCUCUCCUCACUCUCUCACACAACACGCCUGUCGGGCUUUUUCCCGGAGAAAAAAUUGCAUUUCCCCCUUGGUUCUGGAAGUAUUCGCACGAUCAAGCAAGGUACCCAGGUAAUUACCGUACAUUGUCAAAUAAAGGCACAAUAAAGGGACUACUGAUUCAAAUGAGGAGUGAAAUAUCAAAGAAAAGGGUUCCCUUUGCAGCCAGGCACUUAUCCACACAGGAGACAGCAAUGAGACGACUGCCACAGGGACACUCACACAGCCUCUGAUAACAACAUGCUCAGACUCCUUGCUACAUAUAUUUCACACCACAAUAUUUUGCACACAGAAGCAUUGCACCACACUUACAUAGUCUCAGAGUUUCACCUCAGCUUGUAUACAGCAUUGUGAUAUCACUGAUGACUGAAAUGUAUUUUAAUAUCAUUAAAAUGCUGCUAAAAUAGUACUUAAAGCAAAGACAUAAUCUGUGUUCCAAUUAAAUAGCAAUGUGUUGUAAUUGUUAAAAUCGGUCACAUUAUCAGAUGAAGAUAUCUACAGAAAAGCACCAGGCUUUAAAAAACUAUUAUACUGCAAUUAAAGUGACUAUAUAGCAUUAGGCAAAAUGUUAAGGAUAUUGCACCCUUCAUAAAUGCUUUAUUUCCUCCAUUAAUAGUUUUCUCUCUGAUAUCUCAUGAUGUGAUACAAAAUAUACUCUUGAAGAAACUGGACUUCCCCUCAAAGAUCUGCUUCUUUGGAGAAAAAUUGAACGUACGUCAUUAUUUCCUCUAUUUUUAUUUUGAAUAUUUACUUAGAUGCAGCUGUAUAAUAUAUAACUUGCUUGAUCUUGUUGAUCUUAUGAUAAGAUCUAAAAUAAUGAUGCAAUGAAAGAAAUACAUUUGGGGCUGGUGUGUGAAAUGGUUGGAGGCAAAAUCUGGCCUCCAAGAAUGUGUGAGAGUUUAACAUUAUAAAUACACUUUCCCUCCCUCUAGCUUACAGACAGCUCCAAGGACUAUUUUACAUGUAAAUAUUCACUCAGAAAAAAAGCCAGAUCAUUAAUUAUUGAGAGCCAUAAAGAAGUGUAAUACUUCAGUGUUAAACACAUGCAUCUGAUAUCUCAUUAGAUGAGGUUGAGGAUGAACUCGAAGGAAGAAAUCUAUUCUUCAAGUAGUCCGGGAAUUAGCUUAGAGGAUACAAAAUGGUGGAUAUUCAGUGGAGUAUCAUUUUGCCUUUCUGGUACUGAGUCACAGAUCAGGUUUAGUGCUAGACUAAAGCUAAUUUUUUAAUUAGGAACACACUUUAACAGCAGUCUAAUAUAGGCUAUAGGUUGUGUUUGUUUGUUUUUUUUUUCUUCUUUUUUGUCCCCCAUAUUUACUUAAGAUAGAUUUUAAAAAAUGUUUUCCAUCUGCAAAGAUAUGACGAUGAUGAUAUUGAUGAUGAUAGUAUCCUAAAAAUAUCUUUUCUAUAUAUUCAUUCUUCUGAAAAUAUGGCUUUCCCUGAUCUAUAAUCAAAUAUUUUUUCCCAUCACCCCCCCCCCAAAAGCAUCACAAUACAAAAAUCAUUAUUAAAAGAAACAUUACAAGACCUGUUCUGUUCUCUCUACUAGCUAAUCUUACUACUGUGCAUUCACUGAUUAUAGCAAAUGAAAGCAAAUUUUUUUUUUAAUGUGUAGCUGUUAAUGUUGGAGUUAAAGAUAUGACAAGAGUUAUUACAUGAAUAAAACAUUCCUUCGGAGAUGAGCUGACUGAGAUGAUAUUGAAUAUUCAGAGACAGAAGCCUGCCACUGACGUCUAUAUGAAUCUACAGACUAUAUGAAUCUAUAUGGCCGGGAGACUUGAUAAUCUUUCAUACUUUUCAAAAGUUGAAAGUUUUAAAGAACUUUCCCCAUGUAUGGCCAGCUAGGCUGCAUUCUGGCACCCAUCUUCUCUCUUACAUUAUGGCCUGUGGCUGAGCUCUUGACAGGUUGUCACAAGGUGAUAGGACUCAAGUGGAGACACUAGAAAGGUGGCACUUAAGAGCACAAGGAGUUUGACUUCCGGGUGUGCCAUGGAGCCUGACAGUGGAUCAGCCCUUGAAGGAGUGCACUCACGCACCGGAGUGAUUGGAAUGUCCCGUAAAUGAGAGCUGUGCUUUAGAUGUAACAAUGCCGACAUACGAAAGAACUGGCAAGAACUAAGAAAUGUGGAAUCUCAUGCAAAAAAUAUUCCCCUGAAGUGUUUGCUUUUUUCCCCCCUCUCUACCUCCCUUUUUUUAACCAAGUUAGUGAAUGCAAAGUUUCUGAGAGUGUUGAUCCAGGUAGGCUCACGAUCUAAACGUGUAUUAUUGUUAUUAUAAAUGAUUGUUCUGGGCACAAGUACAUAUAUGUUUACAAUAAAAUAAAUGAUAUUUAUGUAUUUAA